rnacentral:lncRNA from 1 species
GGUGUGCCUGGAAUCAAAGGAGAAUCAGGACUACGGGGAGAGCAGGGACCAGCGGGUGAGCCUGGUGAGAGAGGAACAAGGGUAAUGUCUCCAUGUUCUACCCAACUCUUAUCAUUUCUCUGCACACAAGUUUGAAAUAUGCUGCACUGUUGGUUGGAGUGGAUAUUUCUUGGCUUAUCCUCACUCUAUACUGUGACUGUAGGGCCCACUGGGGUUACCGGGACGACCAGGGGACCCAGCAGAGAAAGGAGAUACCGGGAACAUUGGUUUGCCUGUAAGCAUUUUCUGACUUUACUAUCAAGCGCCAUUUUGUUUGUAAAACUUUAUUAGUCACUGUCAAAGAUACAAACCUGAUUGAUUUGAAUUGCUCGGCGUGGUUGGAUAUGUUCAGCGAUAUGAUUUCCUCUUUGUUUCAGGGAACGGAGGGAAAGAAAGGAGAGCCUGUAGGUGUACAUUCACAACAACAUGACAGACAUGUAUCACUGUAUGCAGCGGUUGGCUGACUCUCCAUCACACUUGGUUUAGGUCAAUGUCUCACGUCACUGACUUCGCCCAUUGUUCAGGAACAUCAACACUCUUGUGUUUCUAAUUAUAUUCCUAGCCUGAUAAAUGCACAAAUGAAAAAUCCCAGCUUUAUUAAUCAUGUUAUGUUCCCCUUGAGUGAGUGUUGCAUCUCCCAUCAGUAUUGUGAUGGUGAUGCAGGACUGCUCAGCUCGCACAGUGUGUUUACUAGCCGCUAGUUGACCGCACAUCCCUCUUGUUUUGUUUUGUUCCCAUGGUCUCGCCUCUGAAGGGAAAACCAGGACCUCCGGGAGGCGCGCAAUUCAGUUCAGACAACAAUAUCCUGACUAGGGUGAUCAAGGGUGAACCAGGACAUCCCGGAGAGCCCGGUCUCAGAGGGGAGACAGGUCUGCCUGGACAAAGGGGUCCUGAUGGAAAACCAGGAUCUCCAGGAACGGGAGGGUCUGGGUCAGGGAGAGAUGGUCUGGAUGGGUUACCAGGAAAACCUGGAUCCAAGGUUUGGACACCUCAUUCCCUCACUUCCUUUCACAUCUGUUGUUGUUAUUCUAAUGUGAACACACACAAACAUACACGUACAUAG